AUAAAAGACAGACAGAAAGAUGGCAGUAUGGCAGUAAUCGUAAUAUCCUGAGUUUUUGGAGGGGGGUGGGUAAAAAAAGCAUUGAGCAUGUUUCAGAGGAAUACUGCUGACUCUCUGCAGGACGCAUACAAUCUGAUCAAGUUCAGAGACGCGUUGAGUGCUUCAAGCGGCGCUUUUUAACCGGCGAGCCUUUCACAAGCCACCCCCCCCCCUUCCUCCAAACAGCACCCUCCCCUUAUGCCCCAUACACACAUACACUCGCAAUCUGUCCCAGGAAGGAGCUCCUCACAUUCUUUAUUUUAUAAAGAGACUUUCUCUGUACAACCCUCUCCCCCCCAAAAAGUCUUCUAAAAUCAGCCCCUUCAUUUCUCGUCGCGCCUUCAUCCCAUCAUCAUCCAUCCAUCCACUCUCCUCAACUUUUUCCUGCACCCCUCACAUUCAUAUCACACAGAAGAGAGACAAAACAAGGACGCUUCAUUCAUCCUUUUUGGGGCGAAAGGCAUUUAAAAAAAAAGGCACUUGCUCUGCCGCUUCUUGGCACACAACGACAAAUGACGAUAUGUUUUCUUUUUUGCAUUCAGAGCUGAUGAUGAUCGUACUUUCACGCCCUGUCCGCCCGCAUUGUGCGUCCCAACUCCUUUGCGGAUAAGUCUUCACUUGGAGACGCCGAACGCACGUCUGAAGGGCCACAACUGUGCCGUGCAGUUUUGGGUCUCCCCCUGCGGGCGCCCUGGAGGGUUGGGGCGGAGAGGCCCCCGGAAAGGUAACUGGGCCGCUUGACCUCGAGCCGAGAGAAUUCCAAUGUUUACUGUUCCUAAAUCUUCAUUUUCACACCGGGCUCGCUAUAAAGCGUCUGCCUUCUUCCUGCUUGUUCCGUUCAAUAGCCACUCGGCCAUUUUAUUGUCUCAGUGGGGCUAUUGAGGGGUUCAGGCAGCAGUCAUCUGCCGAGGUGAGAGGUUGCUGUGUCUUCCACGCUAGCGGCACCCCUCAAAAUAUCCAACUCUUGACCUGCAAAAUGAUAGAAAAUAAGCCGCUAAUGUUUUGUCAUGGAUAAUGCAUUAUUAAGUGCAUUUAUGUCACGUUUAUUCGAAAUAAAUGUGGCACACUCUUCUUUGUGACCCUCCUCAAAGCUCACACGGUGUCAUGUUAUCGCAUAUUAUACAGGAUACAGUAUGUACACUUAGCGAUGGCGCUGCAUUAUUCAUAAACUCUAUUCUUGAUGAUUUAUUAAAUAUGAUAUCACACGACGGGGAAAGGGAAUCUAAGAACAAUAGGUUUCACUUUUUUGAUCAUUUUUAAGCAGAAUUCUUUGAGGUGGGGGGUGGCGGGGGGGGGGGGGGAAAUCGGCCAGUUGGUGGCAAGUCUGCAGUGUUAUUUCUACUCCGUGGCCACAACAUUCGGUACGCUGGCGCCAAGAUAAUAAUGUUUCGUUUUGAUCAAGGGUCACUGACCUUUUCGUAAGUGAGAGUUACUUCUUGGGCAUUGAUUAAUGCGUAGGGCUUCCAGUUUCAUACACACGUCUGAAGUAAGAAAUAUGCUCAAAUUACCUUGAAUUAUGUGUUAGUCAUGAUAAUUAUUGAUAUUUAGCUCCAUGAAGACGCUGAUCAUGUUCUUGCUUUCUCACAAUCAGUGUCAACAAAGAUUUAAUGAGCUCGGAAACAGAUAAAUAUCAACAGGUUAAAUUACAAUUCCCAGAAAAUCACGAUGUCCCACCACUGGUGAGCUGUUUUUAGAAUCGACCUGCGGGAUACUUACGUGAUUCCUCGGUGCACCCUGAUGAGAGCAGACCCGACAUUGGGGUCAGCCAUGUUUUUAUUUGCCAAUAUGGCUUCCCAGCGUUGUACUUUGCAAUCAUUCUGUUUCUAAUAUUUUGGCCCUGUUCGUAGCUGUCCUCACUUGAAUAGUGCCUUGUGCAAGAUCCCACUUUGGCGCCCCCCCUGCCCCUCCAACGCACACAAAUACCAAUGAAGCACUCAUUGGAAGGGGAUUGAUUGAUUGAUUGAUUUAUAAAAUCGACCGGCUUGUAAAUCGAUUCGAAUACAGCAACAGCAAAGAACAAUUUGAAAAUUAAGCUCACAUAACAAAACAACACAAACAAUACACGAGUAAGUGGAACAGACAACGACCCUUCCACAACAUCAAGCUGCCAUUCCACUUUGUGCGGCUCCUCAUUUCACGCAUGCCAAAGUGUGCAAACUGCUUUGUUUAUCUGAAGGAUCUUUUUGUGUGGAUUUGUGUGUAACUCAGUAUUCUCUACCCAUGAGAUACUGCAACACAACCAACAGAAGUGUAAAUUAUGAUCUUUUGGGGCAAGUGGCAUAGCCCCGAUGCCGUCACACAAAAGGGCGUGUCCAAAAACGUUUUCCUCCACCCAUGACGACAGCAGUGAAAAAGCUAAAGAUGUUGAAUCCCUUUUAUUUGGACUCAUCAGUGUUGUGGCACAUGCAUCCUCUGCUGAUGUUACACGCUUGCCACACACACACACACACACACACACACACACACACACACGCAGUCACACGCACUGACUAUUAAUGAAGCCAGCAGUUUAAAUGAGGACACGGCAAGAGUGGCUGGUGGCAAACUUAAAUGUAGGCCAUUUUUGGUUGUUAGAACUUUGAAGGAAAUGCAAUACUUGAGAGGAUAGAAAUGCGGAAUCCUCACCAACGCUCUUUUCUUCAUUCGACAAGAAAGUCAGCGUGGAGCUCAAAGCUGACAUGUAGUCUCAAGUCCUGUCAGAGUUGCUUCUUAAAAAGCCAUUUUCCUUAGAGGAGCCAACGGACCAGUUGUGUUGUUUCCUGCAGAAAACUCUGCCGGCCCGCCUGCACUUUUUUUUUUUUUUUUUUUGUGGUUUUUACAUGCCAUGCGAAAUGGGCUCGCCAUUGUCAUCACGGCAGACUGGGAGCUGUGGGGAGAGGACGCCCGCGCUGUGCCAGUUGGCUCCGGUAGUGAAAACACAAGGCAGGCACAGCACCAUUCUAAUCUUCGGCGUUGCAGACACAAAGGUCACUUUGUGGCGAUUGCACUUGGAGUGUUCCAACAGCUCGGCGGGCAUAUUCGCAGCGGAAUGUAUAGAAAUGUACACAGUGUACACAUGCUGUUGGCUGCCAGCAUGUCAACAUUCGGCCGCUGCGCCAUGUGCUUCGGUCUAAAAAUGACUGUUAUUUAAAUCAGGCACACUCUCGAGGGGGCGCUGGGACGCCACCAACAUUUAAAUAUCCCGCAAUGUCAAUGAUAAAUUAAUGAUUUCAUUCAAAAUAUAUUAGGAGAUAAACAUUGUUUCAUUUUGAAAUGGUCCUUUUGUUUGCCAGCGGUUAUAAAAAAUGCAGUUUAAAAAAAAUGCAGUUAAUAUGGGUUAAUCGUUGGACUGAAUAGAAUACACAAUGCAGCAGCAGGCAGCUCACUCAACAGGAACAUUCUAAUUAUUUAGUAGAGUUCUUAAUUUUGUGUUUGAAUGUAUUAGGUUGAGUACUGACUACUGCAAAAAAGACUCUUGCCCCAGCCCCCCCAUGAGCCAGGCCUGGAGUGGUAAUUUGGAUAAUUCUGGCGAUUGAUUGAUGGGCCAGGUUGCUAUGUGUGCUACUUGGGGUGCUAUCCCAGCAUGCACAUUCAUUUGUUCUCCCCCAUGCCUGCGUGGGUUUUCUCUGGGUACUCCGUUUUCCUCCCACAUUCCA